ACGGGAGGCAGCAGUGGGGAAUCUUGCGCAAUGGGCGAAAGCCUGACGCAGCCAUGCCGCGUGAAUGAUGAAGGUCUUAGGAUUGUAAAAUUCUUUCACCGGGGACGAUAAUGACGGUACCCGGAGAAGAAGCCCCGGCUAACUUCGUGCCAGCAGCCGCGGUAAUACGAAGGGGGCUAGCGUUGCUCGGAAUUACUGGGCGUAAAGGGAGCGUAGGCGGACAUUUAAGUCAGGGGUGAAAUCCCGGGGCUCAACCUCGGAAUUGCCUUUGAUACUGGGUGUCUUGAGUAUGAGAGAGGUAUGUGGAACUCCGAGUGUAGAGGUGAAAUUCGUAGAUAUUCGGAAGAACACCAGUGGCGAAGGCGACAUACUGGCUCAUUACUGACGCUGAGGCUCGAAAGCGUGGGGAGCAAACAGGAUUAGAUACCCUGGUA
rnacentral:rRNA from 1 species